UGGGGAAUAUUGCACAAUGGGCGCAAGCCUGAUGCAGCCAUGCCGCGUGUAUGAAGAAGGCCUUCGGGUUGUAAAGUACUUUCAGCGGGGAGGAAGGGAGUAAAGUUAAUACCUUUGCUCAUUGACGUUACCCGCAGAAGAAGCACCGGCUAACUCCGUGCCAGCAGCCGCGGUAAUACGGAGGGUGCAAGCGUUAAUCGGAAUUACUGGGCGUAAAGCGCACGCAGGCGGUUUGUUAAGUCAGAUGUGAAAUCCUCGGGCUCAACCUGGGAACUGCAUCUGAUACUGGCAAGCUUGAGUCUCGUAGAGGGGGGUAGAAUUCCAGGUGUAGCGGUGAAAUGCGUAGAGAUCUGGAGGAAUACCGGUGGCGAAGGCGGCCCCCUGGACGAAGACUGACGCUCAGGUGCGAAAGCGGGGGGAGCAAACAGG
rnacentral:rRNA from 1 species